UGCAGCAUCUUUAGGAAGGAGAAGGACCAUCUGGAAUGCUGUGCCCACACAGGCCUUGUGGCUAAUGCAAAUCAGUUGAGACUGGACGAGCACUCAGCUGUAUAGAAAGGUCUGGUUGCUUCCAGUCUACAGCCAUCGUCACCUACACUUUGUCUACUGUGAAAAUGAGACCUUGCCAUGAAAACAUUUUUACCAAGGAAAGAUUCUCCACGCAAAUAUCACUUGUGAGAAGCCAGUAUCAUCACUGCUCAUAACUCCUACCUUGAAGCUCACCAUUCAGGUGGAAUGUCCUAUCCACUAUCCUCCAGUUUAGUGGAUAUGUUUAUCUCAAUGUAUUCAUCUCUUUUCCUUCCUCAAGGACAAACUGUACUGUU